rnacentral:lncRNA from 1 species
CUCAUUCCGUUUGAAGAAGGCGUCAAAUGGAUCCUUUGCAGAUAAAACAGAACCAUCAGAACAAUCUCGCUGGAGGAAAGAAGCAGACAGAGAAACGGAAAGGAAGAACCUCUUGUUCCAGCAGAGGAUUUGAGAAUGAAGAAAAGUUAGCGUUGAUAUAUACCUGGAGCCUGAGGCCUUAGCACGGAGCAGAGCUAUGCUAGACUCUAAGCUAAUGGUGUCAGAAUUUUAAAAGAUAGUCAUGGAAAAGGAAAGAAAGGACAUGUCCAGAUAAUGAUGACAGGAAAGCAAAGACAGCAAAGAACGCGAAGAAUGGAGAAAAACCAGAAGGGGGAAAGAGCAGAUAGGAUUCGGAAACUGCACAACGACAGAAAGAUGAAAGGAUGUUAUUAAGGCACCUGAACACGAACAGGCGCGGUCAUAAUGGUUCUUGAUAUUCACCCCCUCGGCAGUGGGAGCAAUAACUACCGAGAAGGUGAAGGGGCAAUUGAUGACCGCUGGAUUUCUUCACCCC